rnacentral:rRNA from 1 species
CUCCUACGGGGGGCAGCAGUGGGGGAUAUUGGACAAUGGGGGGAACCCUGAUCCAGCGACGCCGCGUGAGUGAAGAAGUAUUUCGGUAUGUAAAGCUCUGUCAGCAGGGAAGAAAGAAAUGACGGUACCUGACCAAGAAGCCCCGGCUAACUACGUGCCAGCAGCCGCGGUAAUACGUAGGGGGCAAGCGUUAUCCGGAAUUACUGGGUGUAAAGGGAGCGUAGACGGUUAAGUAAGUCUGGAGUGAAAGGCCGGGGCUCAACCCCCGGACUGCUCUGGAAACUGUACGGCUGGAGUGCAGGAGG